GUUCCUGUAGCGUAAUGGAUUGCGCGUUGGAUGUCUAUUCCAAAGGUCGUGGGUUCGAUCCCACCUGAGAUG